UGCAAGUCUGGUGCCAGCAGCCGCGGUAAUUCCAGCUCCAAUAGCGUAUAUUAAAGUUGUUGCAGUUAAAAAGCUCGUAGUUGAAACUUGGGCCUGGCUGGCGGGUCCGCCUCACCGCGUGCACUCGUCCGGCCGGGCCUUCCUUCUGAAGAACCUCAUGCCCUUCACUGGGCGUGUUGGGGAAUCAGGACUUUUACUUUGAAAAAAUUAGAGUGUUCAAAGCAGGCCUUUGCUCGAAUACGUUAGCAUGGAAUAAUAAAAUAGGGCGUGCGUUUCUAUUUUGUUGGUUUCUAGAGACGCCGCAAUGAUUAACAGGAACAGUCGGGGGCAUCAGUAUUCAGUUGUCAGAGGUGAAAUUCUUGGAUUUACUGAAGACUAACUACUGCGAAAGCAUUUGCCAAGGAUGUUUUCAUUAAUCAGUGAACGAAAGUUAGGGGAUCGAAGACGAUCAGAUACCGUCGUAGUCUUAACCGUAAACUAUGCCGACUAGGGAUCGGGCGAUGUUCUUUUUCUGACUCGCUCGGCACCUUACGAGAAAUCAAAGUUUUUGGGUUCUGGGGGGAUUAUGGUCGCAAGGCUGAAACUUAAAGGAAUUGACGGAAG
rnacentral:rRNA from 1 species